rnacentral:tRNA from 1 species
GAGGGUAUAGCUCAGUGGUAGAGUCUGUGUCUGGCAUGCAUGAGGUCCUGGGUAGAACCCCCAGUACCUCCA